CCUACGGGAGGCAGCAGUGGGGAAUAUUGGACAAUGGGGGGAACCCUGAGCCAGCCAUGCCGCGUGUGUGAAGAAGGCCCUCGGGUUGUAAAGCACUUUCAGUGAGGAAGAACGCCUGGUGGUUAAUACCCAUCAGGAAAGACAUCACUCACAGAAGAAGCACCGGCUAACUCCGUGCCAGCAGCCGCGGUAAUACGGAGGGUGCGAGCGUUAAUCGGAAUUACUGGGCGUAAAGCGCGCGUAGGUGGCUUGAUAAGCCGGUUGUGAAAGCCCCGGGCUCAAACUGGGAACGGCAUCCGGAACUGUCAAUCUAGAGUGCAGGAGAGGAAGGUAGUAUUCCCGGUGUAGCGGUGAAAAGCGUAGAGAUCGGGAGGAAUACCAGUGGCGAAGGCGGCCUUCUGGACUGACACUGACACUGAGGUGCGAAAGCGUCGGUAGCAAACAGGCUUAGAUACCCCAGUAGUC
rnacentral:rRNA from 1 species